AAGGGCGAGGGGAUUGCGAGUCACCGAGUUUCCCGCGCGGCUUGAGAACGUGUUAGGAACUAGUACUUAUAUAAUCUCAAGUCCCUGAGGGGCCAGAGAUCCCACCAUGCAAAAUAGCAAACAGACCCAAGACUUGGGGAGAGGCGGUGAGUGCAUCAGAAAUGGAUGGGUACAUCUGAUUCCCACCACGCGGGGCUCAGCUUAGUUAGCAGGAGACCUUCAGAUUGAGAAAAAAUGCAAGUCUUUUUUUGGCCUCUAAUAUCUGGGAAGGAUGGAGGGAGCUCAGGAGACACAGAAAAGAUGGCGUAUGAAUCCUGUCCGGCCUGAACGAGGCUGGAGUUGUGCCUCUGGAUAGCUUCAAGCACUGAUCAGAGUGUCAGCCCCCGCUCCUUGAACAGAUGCUUUAGAGCCUCUUCCAGUUGCCGGUUUGUUCCCUGAAGCCCCUUCACCACCUGCGCUGCCCACUCGAAGUAUUCCUGGACUCGAUGUUCUGACCAUCCUGCAUAAGAGUCGACAGAAACUUGCUAGCGUGAUGUCAAGGAAAGCACUGCCUUUUCCCCACUUCCUGGCAAGCUUGGUUCAAGGCCAUGAGUUCCUGAUGGAAUGAGCUGUCCUGAAAACUUCCCCUUGG
rnacentral:lncRNA from 1 species